rnacentral:rRNA from 1 species
ACUUCGGGUGUGUAUAGAGUGGCGAACGGGUGAGUAACACGUGACCAACCUGCCUCUUACAUUGGGACAACCAAAAGAAAUUCUGGCUAAAUACCAAAAAUACUCCGCACAUAUCACAUGAUGUAUGCGGGAAAGCUUUUGCGGUAAGAGAUGGGUCGCGGCCCAUUAGGUAGACGGCGGGGUAGAAGCCCACCGUGCCGAUGAUGGGUAGCCGGGUUGAGAGACCGACCGGCCACAUUGGGACUGAGAUACGGCCCAGACUCCUACGGGAGGCAGCAGUGGGGAAUAUUGCGCAAUGGGGGAAACCCUGACGCAGCAGCGCCGCGUGCGGGAUGAAGGCCUUCGGGUUGUAAACCGCUUUCAGCAGGGAAGACAUCGACGGUACCUGCAGAAGAAGCCCCGGCUAACUACGUGCCAGCAGCCGCGGUAAAU